UUCGAAGCAACGCGAAGAACCUUACCAGGUCUUGACAUCCCGAUGCUAUUUCUAGAGAUAGAAAGUUACUUCGGUACAUCGGUGACAGGUGGUGCAUGGUUGUCGUCAGCUCGUGUCGUGAGAUGUUGGGUUAAGUCCCGCAACGAGCGCAACCCCUAUUGUUAGUUGCCAUCAUUCAGUUGGGCACUCUAGCGAGACUGCCGGUAAUAAACCGGAGGAAGGUGGGGAUGACGUCAAAUCAUCAUGCCCCUUAUGACCUGGGCUACACACGUGCUACAAUGGUUGGUACAACGAGUUGCGAGUCGGUGACGGCGAGCUAAUCUCUUAAAGCCAAUCUCAGUUCGGAUUGUAGGCUGCAACUCGCCUACAUGAAGUCGGAAUCGCUAGUAAUCGCGGAUCAGCACGCCGCGGUGAAUACCGUUCCCGGGCCUU
rnacentral:rRNA from 1 species